GACGAACGCUGGCGGCGUGCUUAACACAUGCAAGUCGAACGGAAAGGCCCUGCUUUUGUGGGGUGCUCGAGUGGCGAACGGGUGAGUAACACGUGAGUAACCUGCCCCUGACUUUGGGAUAACUUCAGGACACUGGGGCUAAUACCGGAUAGGAGCUCCUGCUGCAUGGUGGGGGUUGGAAAGUUUCGGCGGUUGGGGAUGGACUCGCGGCUUAUCAGCUUGUUGGUGGGGUAGUGGGUUACCAAGGCUUUGACGGGUAGCCGGCCUGCGAGGGGGACCGGCCACAUUGGGACUGAGAUACGACCCAGACUCGAACGGUAGGCAGCGGUGGGGAAUAUUGCACAGUGGGCGGAAGCCUGAUGCAGCAACGCCGCGUGCGGGAAGACGGCCUUCGGGUUGUAAACCGCUGUCGCCUGUGACGAAGCGUUAGUGACGGUAAUGGGUAAAGAAGCACCGGCUAACUACGUG
rnacentral:rRNA from 1 species